CUUUGGUUUUGUUUAUUCUGAAAUAAUUGCAUGUGUGAUGUAAGGACUAAUGGGAUACAUGUGGUGAUUUCAGGCUAAAGAAGCUACAGAAUCAGCUUUUAAGGAUGGAAAACAGCUAUUGAUAUGAUGCCAUUGGCCAGCAUGCAGUUCCAGUACCUUAUGGUUGAGGAAAAGUUAUAUAGAGAUCUAUCCAGAUAUGAUGCCACUGCAAAUGCUCAUGUGCAAAAUUUACACUGUUUCGCAUUGCACUAUCAUCAUUGUCACUCCAUGAGUAUUAGUUGAGGAAACUGGGGUUUGGAACUCUAGCAGAGCAACUGAAGAAAAGUGGUGUUUCAGCUUUAGUUGUAUUCUACAAGAGUUUGGGUGGGUAAAUUUGGCUUUCCUUUCUUGUCCCUGUGAAGCCCCUUCGAUGCCACGUCUUCCAUUAUCUGCCAGCGCAACCUCGGGCUCCCCUCGUUGCCUGUGUACCUCUGCCUCUUGCCAAAUGAUACAAAGUGGGUAAUUCUUCGACGAUCAUAGUAAUACCAAGUGGCUAUAUGCUUUUUAUCUGUUAAACAUGUUUUAAGAGAAGAUUCAGGCGACGGUUGGAGGACUAGGGAAAGCGGUGCUCAUGAAGGGGACAGCAACAACGAUGGCCAUGGGGAAAGGGAGAGAGGCCAGUUGGAGACAACGACGACGACGGUGGCCGAAUCGGAGCACAUCACCAUCUCCUUCCUCCUGCAUCUUCCCACGUGAGUUCCUUUUUCCAAUAUCUUCCUCCGAUUUGGUUUCUUUUCUUUUUCCCUAUAAGGUUUGGGGUGUAGCCUGUAGAUUCUAACACCGAUGUGGGAGAGAGGCCACACACCUCCGCUGCACGGCUUCGAGCCCUGGCGUUGACUGUGGAGAUCGAAGGCGAGCCUCCAUCUUCGUUUUUCCACCCGCCAAACUGAGGCGGACCUGCAAGCAUGAGCUGCUUCUGCUGAUUCGAUUAUUCCACAUGCCUGGAAGCUCCACCAUCGGCUGAUCUUCAAGCUCUGUGCGAUGCAGUCCCCUCAUCUGCUCGUCUACGUCUGCUCGAGUUUCUCCAAUCUUGAUUUCUGAUUUGAGCAUGAAGUGUGGAGAUGGAUCCUGGAAGAUUCAUUGGUAAGCACGAAAGCCUGUAGGACCAAAAUAUUGGUUUGUGAUUCCAUUAUGGAAACUUUGGAGAUGGAGGUAUGAAAAGAUUCAUCAUGACAGAUAAUUAUCUUGACACAUUAUUUAGAUAGUACUAUCCUUUUCUUGUCUAUUUUUCCAUUUACACAAAUAAAGGUUUUAAAGAUAGUAGAAUUUUUUGGUAUUUCUGGAGUUACAUAUUCUGCUCCGUUUAUUCUCCGGGACUAAGAUGUAAUAGGAAUUAUUAUACCCUGUUGGUGCUUUGGUCUUAUUAUAUCCACCUACAAAAUAGGAAUUUAAAAAAACAUCACUACUUAAUGGGAAUUACAUGACUUAGAAAGUAUCUUGAUGUGAUAUUAGGUACUUCAGAAUGAACAUUUUCAUAUUUAGUAGAAUAUGGAGGCAUCCUAAUAUUUGUUGUGCCGGUGAUCUGAUCUGCCGGUGUCCUUAGCGCCCUACUUUGGGUUCUCAGUUAUCAUGAUGUCUAAGUACGAUUUUAUUAUGUUCAGCCGUAUAAAUCUUGGAAUCAAGAAGCAUAAUGUUUUAAUUUAAGAGGGCAUGGGUGCAUGACAUGUGUAUUCCUGAUUACAGGGUGUCGUCAAUAAUAUCAU